rnacentral:rRNA from 1 species
CAGUAGCCGCGGUAAUACGGAGGGGGCUAGCGUUGUUCGGAAUUACUGGGCGUAAAGCGCACGUAGGCGGCUUGGUAAGUUAGAGGUGAAAGCCUGGAGCUCAACUCCAGAAUUGCCUUUAAGACUGCCGAGCUAGCAGGUGAGAGAGGUAAGUGGAAUUCCGAGUGUAGAGGUGAAAUUCGUAGAUAUUCGGAAGAACACCAGUGGCGAAGGCGGCUUACUGGCUCAUACUGGACGCUGAGGUGCGAAAGCGUGGGGAGCAAACAGGAUUAGAUACCCCUGUAGUCCCUGUCUCUUAUAC